rnacentral:rRNA from 1 species
AUGAUACUCGCAACUGCCGUCCUCACAAAGGUUGCACAAUGGCUUUCCACUGCACACAAGACUAUGCCCCAAUCCAGUGAUAUAUGUCUCAUCCAUCUACUUCUCGUCGCUCUUUUGAUCGUCACGGCUGCCAUCUAUCUUGCACUCCGUCCUAGAAAUGUAUACCUUGUUGACUACUCUUGCUUCCGGCCAAGCUCCAACUUUAGAUACCCAAAGGCAACCUCCGUCGAGCAUGCACGACUCUCACCUUUGAUUGAUGAUUCUACUGCCAACUUCAUAGCUAGUAUUCAUGAGCGCUCAGGCAUGGGCGAUCAAACAUAUUUCCCACCAGUAGUUAUGCACAUGGAGCCAUAUUGUGGGCUUGAUGAAGCACGCACCGAAGCAGAGUUGGUCGUCUUCUCAGUGAUUGAUGACCUUCUAGCCAAGACGUGCAUCAAUCUUGAUGCGGUCGGUGUUCUUAUCACCAACUGCAGCUUAUUUUGUCCGGUACCAUCCAUCGCCGACAUGAUUGUAAAUAGAUACAAGUUACGAGGUGAUCUCCGCGUCAUGAACCUCUCUGGGAUGGCAUGCUCUGCAUCGGUGACCGCAGUGGGGCUCGCGAGCAACAUCCUGCGGUUCAUGCCUUGGGGGUCAUACGCGUUGGUGGUGUCAACGGAGAUCGUUGGCCCGUGCUACUAUGUGGGAAACAAGCGUUCCAUGCAGCUGACUAACCUCUUGUUUCGUAUGGGCGGUGUCGCCAAGCUUUUGUCGACUUCUAGGUCCAAGGCUCGGUUUCGGCUUGGGCAUUUCACGCGAACGAUCACGGCGGCAAGCAACACUGCCUACCGGUGUGUGUAUCAAGAAGAAGAUGAGAAGGGAAACCUGGGGAUUGCACUCUCUAAAGACCUUAUGGUUGUCGCUGGUGAUGCACUCACGGCUAAUAUCACAUCAACCGCACCUCUUGUCCUACCAGCAUCAGAGCUUUUCAAGUAUGGAUUCUUAUGCAUGGCCAAAAAGGUGCUUCAUUGGAGGAAGAUCAGACCAUACAUCCCAAACUUUUGUGUUGCAUUUGACCAUUUCUGCAUCCACGUCGGUGGGCCGGCGGUUAUCACCUCCGUACAACAUGGCCUCGGCCUAUCAGACAAGCAUGUUGAGCCAUCAAGAAUGACACUGCAUCGGUUUAGAAAUCAGUCAACGUCAUUAGUCUGGUAUGAAUUGGCAUACAUCGAAGCUAAAGGGCGGAUGAAGAAAGGCAACAGGGUGUGGAUGAUCGGGUUCGGUGCAGGGUACGAAUGCAACACUAUUGGUUGGAUGUGUAUACAACCAUCUUCUGGUGCGGAUGGACCCUGGGCUAGCUGCAUCCGUCAUUACCCAGUGGAUGUCUCCAACAAAGUUUAA